UUUUUUUGUUUUAGCUAUUUUUAUUUUUUUUUUGUGUUUUUUGUUUUGGUGUAUUUUUAUAAUGUAGAUAAAGUCUUGAAAUAAACACAUUAUUAAGGUAAGCAUGUUUCAUUCCUAAAGUCUAUAGUUUUUUGUUUUUGAAUUUUUUGAAUAUAUUUUAUUGUUGUAUUGGCAUAAUUAUUGAAUAAUUUGUUAAAUUGUAAUUGUUAAUAUUGAAUUUACC
rnacentral:lncRNA from 1 species